rnacentral:rRNA from 1 species
GACGAACGCUGGCGGCGUGCCUAAUACAUGCAAGUUGAGCGCUGAAGGUUGGUACUUGUACCAACUGGAUGAGCAGCGAACGGGUGAGUAACGCGUGGGGAAUCUGCCUUUGAGCGGGGGACAACAUUUGGAAACGAAUGCUAAUACCGCAUAAAAACUUUGAACACAAGUUUUAAGUUUGAAAGAUGCAAUUGCAUCACUCAAAGAUGAUCCCGCGUUGUAUUAGCUAGUUGGUGAGGUAAAGGCUCACCAAGGCGAUGAUACAUAGCCGACCUGAGAGGGUGAUCGGCCAGAGUGGGACUGAGACACGGCCCAAACGCCUACGGGAGGCAGCAGUAGGGAAGCUUAGGCAAGGGACGAAAGUCUGAACGAGCAACGCCGCGUGAGUGAAGAAGGGUGUCGGAUCGUAAAACUCUGUUGGUAGAGAAGAACGUUGGUGAGAGUGGAAAGCUCAUCAAGUGACGGUAACUACCCAGAAAGGGACGGCUAACUACGUG